rnacentral:rRNA from 1 species
CCUACGGGGCGCAGCAGUGAGGAAUAUUGGUCAAUGGACGCAAGUCUGAACCAGCCAUGCCGCGUGCAGGAUGACGGCUCUAUGAGUUGUAAACUGCUUUUGUACGAGGGUAAACCCCGAUACGUGUAUCGGGUUGAAAGUAUCGUACGAAUAAGGAUCGGCUAACUCCGUGCCAGCAGCCGCGGUAAUACGGAGGAUCCGAGCGUUAUCCGGAUUUAUUGGGUUUAAAGGGUGCGUAGGCGGGAUAUUAAGUCAGCGGUAAAAUCGAGGGGCUCAACCCCUUUCAGCCGUUGAAACUGGUAUUC